rnacentral:rRNA from 1 species
GGUUAAGCGACUAAGCGUACACGGUGGAUGCCCUGGCAGUCAGAGGCGAUGAAGGACGUGCUAAUCUGCGAUAAGCGUCGGUAAGGUGAUAUGAACCGUUAUAACCGGCGAUUUCCGAAUGGGGAAACCCAGUGUGAUUCGUCACACUAUCAUUAACUGAAUCCAUAGGUUAAUGAGGCGAACCGGGGGAACUGAAACAUCUAAGUACCCCGAGGAAAAGAAAUCAACCGAGAUUCCCCCAGUAGCGGCGAGCGAACGGGGAGGAGCCCAGAGCCUGAAUCAGUGUGUGUGUUAGUGGAAGCGUCUGGAAAGGCGCGCGAUACAGGGUGACAGCCCCGUACACAAAAAUGCACAUGCUGUGAGCUCGAUGAGUAGGGCGGGACACGUGGUAUCCUGUCUGAAUAUGGGGGGACCAUCCUCCAAGGCUAAAUACUCCUGACUGACCGAUAGUGAACCAGUACCGUGAGGGAAAGGCGAAAAGAACCCCGGCGAGGGGAGUGAAAAAGAACCUGAAACCGUGUACGUACAAGCAGUGGGAGCACGCUUAGGCGUGUGACUGCGUACCUUUUGUAUAAUGGGUCAGCGACUUAUAUUCUGUAGCAAGGUUAACCGAAUAGGGGAGCCGAAGGGAAACCGAGUCUUAACUGGGCGUUAAGUUGCAGGGUAUAGACCCGAAACCCGGUGAUCUAGCCAUGGGCAGGUUGAAGGUUGGGUAACACUAACUGGAGGACCGAACCGACUAAUGUUGAAAAAUUAGCGGAUGACUUGUGGCUGGGGGUGAAAGGCCAAUCAAACCGGGAGAUAGCUGGUUCUCCCCGAAAGCUAUUUAGGUAGCGCCUCGUGAACUCAUCUCCGGGGGUAGAGCACUGUUUCGGCAAGGGGGUCAUCCCGACUUACCAACCCGAUGCAAACUGCGAAUACCGGAGAAUGUUAUCACGGGAGACACACGGCGGGUGCUAACGUCCGUCGUGAAGAGGGAAACAACCCAGACCGCCAGCUAAGGUCCCAAAGUCAUGGUUAAGUGGGAAACGAUGUGGGAAGGCCCAGACAGCCAGGAUGUUGGCUUAGAAGCAGCCAUCAUUUAAAGAAAGCGUAAUAGCUCACUGGUCGAGUCGGCCUGCGCGGAAGAUGUAACGGGGCUAAACCAUGCACCGAAGCUGCGGCAGCGACACUAUGUGUUGUUGGGUAGGGGAGCGUUCUGUAAGCCUGCGAAGGUGUACUGUGAGGUAUGCUGGAGGUAUCAGAAGUGCGAAUGCUGACAUAAGUAACGAUAAAGCGGGUGAAAAGCCCGCUCGCCGGAAGACCAAGGGUUCCUGUCCAACGUUAAUCGGGGCAGGGUGAGUCGACCCCUAAGGCGAGGCCGAAAGGCGUAGUCGAUGGGAAACAGGUUAAUAUUCCUGUACUUGGUGUUACUGCGAAGGGGGGACGGAGAAGGCUAUGUUGGCCGGGCGACGGUUGUCCCGGUUUAAGCGUGUAGGCUGGUUUUCCAGGCAAAUCCGGAAAAUCAAGGCUGAGGCGUGAUGACGAGGCACUACGGUGCUGAAGCAACAAAUGCCCUGCUUCCAGGAAAAGCCUCUAAGCAUCAGGUAACAUCAAAUCGUACCCCAAACCGACACAGGUGGUCAGGUAGAGAAUACCAAGGCGCUUGAGAGAACUCGGGUGAAGGAACUAGGCAAAAUGGUGCCGUAACUUCGGGAGAAGGCACGCUGAUAUGUAGGUGAAGCGACUUGCUCGUGGAGCUGAAAUCAGUCGAAGAUACCAGCUGGCUGCAACUGUUUAUUAAAAACACAGCACUGUGCAAACACGAAAGUGGACGUAUACGGUGUGACGCCUGCCCGGUGCCGGAAGGUUAAUUGAUGGGGUCAGCGCAAGCGAAGCUCUUGAUCGAAGCCCCGGUAAACGGCGGCCGUAACUAUAACGGUCCUAAGGUAGCGAAAUUCCUUGUCGGGUAAGUUCCGACCUGCACGAAUGGCGUAAUGAUGGCCAGGCUGUCUCCACCCGAGACUCAGUGAAAUUGAACUCGCUGUGAAGAUGCAGUGUACCCGCGGCAAGACGGAAAGACCCCGUGAACCUUUACUAUAGCUUGACACUGAACAUUGAGCCUUGAUGUGUAGGAUAGGUGGGAGGCUUGGAAGUGUGGACGCCAGUCUGCAUGGAGCCGACCUUGAAAUACCACCCUUUAAUGUUUGAUGUUCUAACGUUGACCCGUAAUCCGGGUUGCGGACAGUGUCUGGUGGGUAGUUUGACUGGGGCGGUCUCCUCCUAAAGAGUAACGGAGGAGCACGAAGGUUGGCUAAUCCUGGUCGGACAUCAGGAGGUUAGUGCAAUGGCAUAAGCCAGCUUGACUGCGAGCGUGACGGCGCGAGCAGGUGCGAAAGCAGGUCAUAGUGAUCCGGUGGUUCUGAAUGGAAGGGCCAUCGCUCAACGGAUAAAAGGUACUCCGGGGAUAACAGGCUGAUACCGCCCAAGAGUUCAUAUCGACGGCGGUGUUUGGCACCUCGAUGUCGGCUCAUCACAUCCUGGGGCUGAAGUAGGUCCCAAGGGUAUGGCUGUUCGCCAUUUAAAGUGGUACGCGAGCUGGGUUUAGAACGUCGUGAGACAGUUCGGUCCCUAUCUGCCGUGGGCGCUGGAGAACUGAGGGGGGCUGCUCCUAGUACGAGAGGACCGGAGUGGACGCAUCACUGGUGUUCGGGUUGUCAUGCCAAUGGCACUGCCCGGUAGCUAAAUGCGGAAGAGAUAAGUGCUGAAAGCAUCUAAGCACGAAACUUGCCCCGAGAUGAGUUCUCCCUGACCCUUUAAGGGUCCUGAAGGAACGUUGAAGACGACGACGUUGAUAGGCCGGGUGUGUAAGCGCAGCGAUGCGUUGAGCUAACCGGUACUAAUGAACCGUGAGGCUUAACCUU